UAGCAUGCAUACGUUGGGCCAACGUUGGGUAAUGGUUGGUUUGUUGGCACAUAGUUGGCGUUGGCAGUAUUACGUUGGCCCAACGUUGGCCCAACUACAUCAUUUUAUGCAUAAUGUAACUGCAAUAUGUACACGUUGGCCCAACGUUGGCCCAACCACAUCAUUUUAUGAAAUAACGUAACUGCAAUAUGCACACGUUGUGCCAACGUUGGGCCAACUUAGUCAACGUAUGCAAUUAACAACCCAAUAAUUAAUUUGAAAGUGUUUCUGUUCACAACUGAGAAGCACAUAUACUUAUCUAUUGAUCAUAUACAUAGAGUUAUUAGGCUUAAAAGAAACAUAUAUAAUUUUUUUUAAUUUUUUUUUCAUUAUGAGUUUAAAUUCCUUGAGUUAAAAUCAGUUUUCUGCUUUAAUUUAUCCUCCAAGCAAUAAACAUUCAUAUAUAGUACUACUACAAGUACUUCACCUAUAUAAAGAACUGAAUGAAAAAAAAAUUUUUUCCAAUAAUGCUGCGAAAACAUUAUAUUUAUUAUUAUUAUAAUUAUAUUAUUAUUAUUAUUAUUAUUGAAAUCAGACAAAUGCUUGGAGUCUCAUUAUAAUGUACAACUGCAUAAUAUAUAAAUUGUAAACCUCAUAGUUAGCAUCUAUUUAAGCUGGACUUGUGAUUAAAAUAAACUGGUUACUUUCAAUAGACCAAAUUCAUUUCAAGCCAGGUGUUUAUCUUAACUGUCAGUUUGAUAUAAACUGUUUGCCUACAGCAUGCUCAAUCAGGUCAGUUUAAGCGCCCAACGCAACGGUUAAGCCAUUUCAAACAUCUAAGCCAGAGGGUCAAGAAUGUUCUAUAAGGAAGAGACUGAAAACAUUGAUUUCUGGAUUAAAAAAGAAUACAUCUUUUGGAAACUAGAAAGAAAAUGAAGAGAUAAAGAGACAGGAUAAGAAGUGAGCAUAUGCAGCACACUCUUCUGUGACUGUUCAGAAAAAGAUGUUGAAGAUACACCUAACUAAUUGUGCUUUGCCAAAGAUCAUGCAGGCGCAGGACAGGAAAGAUCGAGAGAGAAAAAAAUGAAGAUUGCAUUCAUAUGACCACUGAUUUUAUUUGAAGAGACAAUGUCUGAGAUUUUGCCUGAAGGAAGAGACUUUAUGUGAUUUUAUAGACUAACUAGUAACUUAUCUUACUUAAUGACAGUUCUUUUUAAUUUUAAACACCUUACCUGAUAUUAAUCAAGGGUUUCUGGAUUUAAAUUUAAUUUAAUGAAGAUUUUUUUAAAAUUGAAAUAAUCGUGAAUCUUGGAUUGGAUGAAAAACACUAUAAUAGU